rnacentral:lncRNA from 1 species
GCGGAAGCGAAGACAAAAUUUCAGUUAACAUCCCUUACACGAAAACCAAAAACGUACUUAAAGUAUAAAAGAUUAAACUAACUAAGAGAGAAACUCGAAAAUAAAACUAUGAGUAUGACUACAGAGUCUCUAGGCAUCCCCUUCGUCAUCCUCCUGCGGAACGGGUUCGGGAAACCUGUCUUCCUGAUCUGAAAUGGUUAAAUAAGGAGUGAGCUACACUAGCCCAGUAAGAACAUCACGAUAUCUCACCGUCACGGAGGUAAAGGUGGGUAGAAAAACACAAAAGACCAAUGGAGCAUGAUUUAUAACAAAUCAUUUUUAUUUAUGAUAAAACCUUUACCAUCCACUUACCUCGGUGGAAUUCAUGAAACAAUAUAAGAAAACAAUAACAUUAUCACAAUCAUAGAAUAAUAUAAGCUGUAAAACAUAACACUUAUCACGCAUUUUGAAAUUCAAUCAUUAUACAACAUAUCCUUUUCUCAUUUACCAGCCUACUAGUAUCCAUGGGGGUCCAUAGUGGUCCCGCUACCCGUUAACCUUUAACAUUCAUAAUCAGUUUCUAGGGCCGUCCCCAUACCCCGUCCGGUAUGGGCGCCAAAACCAUAAACCUCAAUACCCCGUCCGGUAUGAGCGCCAAAACCAUAAACCUCAAUACCCCGUCCGGUAUGAGGGUGAAACGGGCCGUCCCCAUACCCUGUCCGGUAUGGGCGCCAAAACCAUAAACCUCAAUACCCCGUCCGGUAUGAGGGUGAAACGGGCCGUCCCCAUACCCCGUCCGGUAUGGGCGCCAAAACCAUAAGAUCUCCAUACCCCAUCCGGCAUGUGAGACCCCAAUCCCGGUAGGGUUCCCUACGGACCCGGUCCGUCCACCAUCUCCCAGGAUAUCUAGUCAGGCUAACCCCAUCAUACAAUUAUCAGUCUACACAAUCUUUCAUUUUCCUUUUUCCUCAAUAAGCAUCAUCAAUUCACAUUUAAGAAAGCAAAUCGUAAUUCAUGCCAAGCAGACAACAUACAGUAUCAGUUCUUCAGUCUUUCAACCCAUAAAUAAAUAAAACAGUAAUAUAUGCACUCGAAACUAUAAAAUGAACACAUCAAACCUCAUAAUGCAUUUAAAGCUGUAAAACAUGCCAAAUAACAGUAAAUCAUAAAUCACACUAGACUCGGGCUCCAUUAGCAACCUUAGGCAAUUUCACACAUGCGUUAAUUCAAGAAAUACCGUUUUAUCAUUUUGAACUUUAAUACCGUGAUAGGAAAUAGGGUGAGGGGUCCUUACUUGUUUUCGGGAUCCGAAUACGAUUCACAGUGCGCCUACAGGCCGUCCCUAAUUUUCCCUGAAUUUUUCCCGGGGAACUGAAACACACUAACGGUACCUGCACG